rnacentral:lncRNA from 1 species
ACACACACACUCUCUCUCUCUCUCUCUCUCCACACACACAUACACACAUUCCUUUUAGGAACGUAUGCAUACACUUCCAGCAAGAUACUUGUAUAAUUACACUAUUUUCAUAUAGCAUGACCAACCUUGUUCUUAUCUUAGCAUAAGAAUGAUGCUUCAUGAUGUUGUCAUGAUCUCUCUCUUAUCUCUCUCCUGUCUCUCUCUCUCUCUCUGAAUGGUAGCAUAAGUUAACCACG